AUUUCAUUAUUGACUGUUCGUUUCAUUUGGUAUGUUGGAAAAAGCAUCGGUGUAGGGUGUGUUAAUGUUGUAUCCAGUUACAGCUCUGUAACAUUCCAACUGUGGGAACUUAGACAAACUACCAUAACUCUUUGAACCUUGUUUAUUGAUAUACAAAAUGGAAACAAAAAUAUUUCCACUGAGGUGAGAAAUAAAUAAAAUAAUGCAUGUAAAACCCCAGGCAAAGAGUAUAUAGUGGGCCCUAAUGAAAAAAAAGAAGAAAAGAAAAAAAAAAAAUAGCUCCCCUAUCCUCCAUUUAUCCAGGAAGAGUGUGUGUGUGGUUAUUCCAUAUUUACACCAUGAUUUGGCGUCAUUGGAUUUUUUUUUUCCUUUAAAAAGUAGCAUUCCAGACCAUUUGGGAGAAAAUGACUAAGUUUUGGGGAAGAUAUUAAUGAAGACAACAAUUAAGGUGAGAGGAUAGAUAGGAAGACCCAACAUAAUACAGUAAUUCUCCCUGAAUGUAUCUAUAUUUAAUAAAAUUUAAAUUAAAAUAUGAACAUGUCCUAAUGUGGAAUUUCUCAAGACUUAAAAAUUUUAAAUUUAAAAGAGUAUUUAUAACUGUAUAUAAAAGUGCAGUCUCAAGAUAGACCAGACAAAGACGAAGACAAAGAAGAAGUAGAAGGAGGGGUGCCUGAGUGGCUCAGUCGGGGAAGCAUCCAACUCGUGGCUUCAGAUCUGGUCAUGAUCUCGUGGCUCAUGAGUUCAAGCCCCGCAUGGGGCUCGACACUGACACCGUGGAGCCUGCUUGGGAUUCUUUCUCUCCCCUUUCUCUCUGCCCCUACCCCAUUUGCUCACUCUCUCAAAAUAAAUAAACUUAAUUUUUAUUUAUUUAUUUUAAUUUUUAAUUUUUUUUGUAAAGGAGGAGGAUGGAGGAGAAGAUUUGAAGGACUAGUCAAAUCAUGUCUCAAAUCUUUUUAUAAAUCUGUAGCAAUUAAGGGAGUAUUAGUGAAGGGAUAGAUACACUGACCACUAGGACAACACCAAAAGACUCCAGAAAUGAACUCACACAUACUUGGAAACAUACUAUCAAUAAAUGAUCCUGAGACAACUGCCAUCUUUCAUCAUAUGUAAAAAUGACUUUUCAAAUACAUCUGCUGUGCUCACUCAUUGAGAGCAGCCCAGGGUAAAUAUGGCCUGGUUUGAGACUCUCAUGGUUCAUGGGUUCAAGCCUUACAUCAGGUUCUGUGCUGACAGCUCAGAGCCUGGAGCCUGCUUCAGAUUCUGUGUCUCCCUCCCUCCUCUCCCCUCCCCCCACUCGUGCGUGCUCUCUCUCAAAAAUGAAUAAACAUUAAAAAAAAGAGAGAGAGAGACAAGGAACCACUCCCACUUCUAACUCUGAUUCCUGGAUCCAUGUAUUCAAGUAACAAUUAUCACAAAGUCACAUAUUGAUGAUUAGUUCAGCCUAUGUACCACACAGUCUUAAGACUAUAACCCAAAUUCGCAAAGUGGUUUCUCCCAGCUGGCUCCAUAACUGAGUCUUCAAUUGACUAUUCCACUAUUCUGCUUCUGGAUAGUGGGAUAUAUGAUAAAAUUGGUGAAUUCUGUUGGUUUCAGCAUACUGUAUCAUUUGUUUUACUAUAAAAUAUGAGUUUUGUCAGGACAGUGUUUUGUGAAAUAUUGUGAUUAUAAAUAAGUAAAUACCAUGACUAUAAAUAAAUAGCAUAGCUUCUAGAAGGAUGCACAUCAAGGUAAAUAAAUUCAUUCCAGGAUAAAUGACUAGGGAAUGGCCGAGGGAGAAGCUGCAUAAAUCUUUCCCUUCAUAAAAAACAAUGAAAAUACUGGCAAAAUUAUCAAAAUUAUCUUCAGAGCUCUGACAAUGGGCUGAAAGCUUACAACAAUCUGAAGAUCAUUUGUUUAUCCAAGAAAAACUACUAGUUCUUGGCAAGAAUAGCAGAUUUUGUGGGGUUUCAUAGGGCUUACUCCCAUUCUCAAAAAGCUCCAUGACCAGACAAUUGUCUGACAGCUCCUUGGAAAAGUCCAAUUCAUAGGGCUUGUGUUAUUUGGCCUGAUUCAGUCCUUGUUCAGUGGGAAAAACUCUAUCUUCAGUGUGUUUGUCAAAUACAAUCAGCAGGAAUUGUUCAAUAUCACAGCUACCUAAGGCUCUGAGAUACCAGCCACAGUAAACAAUUACUAGCCAACAAUUUGAAAGGAAAAUCUGGGAAAUGAGAUAUCCAUAGAAACUUAAAAAGGCUAUGACCUAUUCCUGGGGAUUUACAAGUCCUCACACAUGUGCAGGAUAGACACGAGACAGUCCUGGUUACCGCCAGCUAUCUUUAAAUACCUACACAAGCAGGAAAUAAAGCGUAAGGCAGACUUAUAAACUGCCUGAACAUUGAAAGCUUGAGUCAUCGAACACAUGUAUUACAACUACAAGGAUUUUGGUUAUUUUGCCAUUUGACUGGAUACAUUGGCAAUUACAUUGAUGGCAUGCUGUUAAGGCUAGGUGACCAGAAAAUAUCAAGGAAUAUUGAUGUCUUGUUAAGACAUACAUGUGUAAGAGAACAGGUGACUCAAGCAAUGAAAAUUUAAGGGUCCUACAGGUCAGUGCGGUUUCUCACGUCAGUAGUCUCAGGCAGGUUAUUCGUUCUUGCAUUCAUCAGGGUCCUAUCAAGGAACCACGAAAUCCUCAAAUAUUGGUAAGUGAGGAUUUCUUAAUGAGGAAUCUAUUUAGAAAGGUGAAGACAAAGUUAGGAAUAUCAACAAGGGAUGGUGAAGUACCCUUGGGCUAGCAAAGGACGGAAGUCUUCUCUAUCCCUAGACUAAAGGCUUCUAGAAAUAAAGGGUCCAUGCCACCUGCUUGUGCAGUUUACUUAUGCUCUUUGGCCCUGUCCUGCCUGGUCCCAGAUGUACCAAUCUGAUACUUUGCUCGUUGCCUGGCCUACCUAAACUUCUGGUUCAAUGGGGUCAGAAAGAACUUAGCUCAUGAUAGACAAUUUGGCAACAUAGUCACUUGAUGUCUUGUGGUGAGAAGCUAAUGAGGUCCCAGCAGCAUGCCAAAAUUUUUAAAAGCUGUUUUUAAAACGAUGUGUCAUUUUGUGCGGCACAUGGUGUGAUUCUUCUACACCAUCCUGCCGUAAAACCUAUAGAGCAUCUUUUAUCACUAGGUAUCUCUAAUGCCACAGGGUCUGCUGACAUAGCAAGGCUGUUUAUCCCACUGCCUGGAGCUGUUGAAGAGCCCUUCUGACCUGAGUCCCACUCAAAGCUGGCAGCCUUCUGUGUUACUUGAUAACUGGAUCAGAGACACAUUCCCAAGUGUGGAAUACACUGCCUCGGAAACCCAGAGAAGCCUACCAGACCUUGGGAUGAGAGGUACAAAACAAAACAUUCUGUCCUUUCAGUUGGAAGGGAUUGUCUCGGUAUGCCCCAGAUCUUCGGGGCAUAAAUACUUCACUGAUGUGGCAGAUCCCUGAACCUUCGUAUUGUUUCAUCUCCCAACUUCUGCUGUCCAUGCAUCUUAUCGAGGCUUCCAAAAACGUGCCACUUCUUGCUCAUCCAACCAAUUAGAACGAUGUCAUUAUGAUGUUUUAUACAUAAGACCCAUAAUCAUAAGACCCAGCUAUCUUCAGAUUAUGACAGAGGAAUAGAGAGUUAACAUAGCCUUGGGGCAAGACCAUAUAGAUAUACUGAUGUCCCUCCCAUGAGAAUACAAACUGGUUUUUGGCUCUCCUUCUGAGUAGGGUUGAAAAUAUACACAUCCAACAGUGGAUGGCUGCCUAUAUUGUACCUGAGUCCAUGUUAUCAGCUCUAACAGAUAGUACCACAUACAAGUAGCAGUUGCAAUUGGGGCAACUCUUUGUGUGAAUUUGCAAUAAUCCACUAUUAACCUCCAGUAUUUAUAUGCUUUUUAUAGGAACCAGAUUGGUGAAUUAAGUGGAAUAUUAUUGGGACCACACUCACCAUAUCCCUUAGGUCUUUAAGGGUGGAAUUAAUCUCUGCCAUGUACCAUGGGUUUUUAAUUUAAUAUCUUGGCCACAGAGGGGUGUGUUAGAGGCUUCAGCUUGGAUUUCCAAGCUAUGCUAGCAUGGGUCCAGGAAAAAGUAUGGGGUUCUGCCAACCUCCAACACAUAUGCUUUAAUUAUAGAUUAGGAGAUUAUGGAAAUGGCCACUGGGUGGGUCUUUGGAGACAAUGGACCCAUAGGAAGAUGAACAUGGGUUAGGAAUCAAUUUAUUACUUUGCUCCUGUAUAUCCCCACUUGAACAGGUAAGUCAUGAUGAUCCUUCAGAUCUCUGGGUAUUAAGGUCAAAUCAGACCCUGCCUGUGUCCAACAGUCCUUGAAAUAUCUGGGUACCCUUCUGUUCCCAGUGGAUGGUUCCCUGAGUAAACGACUAUAGGUCCCUUUACAGAAGGACUAGGAAAUCAUCCCAUGUAUACUUGCUCCAGGGUUACAAAGUAAUUGAUUUGGGGGAUCUGACCUCUACUUUAGUCCUUGGGUUCUUGUUCUGAAAUCUGGCUCAGUUCUGAAAACUGGCAAGUAAUGGUCAUGUUUAUUUGGGUAGUGUGAUAAACUGAGUAAUGACUCCCAAAGGUAUCCACAUCCCUGUGAAUGUGUUACCCUUUUUGCCGAUAUGAUCAAGUUAAGGAUAUUGAUACUGGGAGAUUAUCCUGGAUUGUUCAGGUGGACCUAAUAUAAUCACAAGGGUCUUUAUAGAGGGAGGCAGGAGGGUCAGACUCAGAGGAACAGAUGAGAGGCUGGAGGAUCAAAAUCAGAGAGAGAUUUGAGGAUGCUAUGGUGCUGGCUUUGAAGACAGAAGGGACCAUGAGCCAAGGGAUGCAUGUGGCCUCUAGAAACUGGAAAAGGCAAGGAAAUAAUUCUCCCUUAGAGCCUCCAGAGAGAACUACCACUGCCAACACCUUGAUUUUGACUCAGUGAGACCCAUUUCAGACUUCUGACGUUUAAAAUUAUAGGAGAAUGAAUUAACAUUUGUUCAAUCCAUUAAAUUGGUGGUAAUCUGUUACAGCAGCAGUAAGAAUCGAAUACGAGCAGCUUCCAUCAGACUCCUGAAUCAUUCGUCCUUAAUAUUUGGUUGCAGAUACUGAACAGCACCUUUGUUCAUUGCCCCCCUCCCCCCAUCAGACCCCAAAGCAAGAUAGAUUCGCUUCUAAAUGCCUUCUCUGUUGCUCUCUGCAGGUCAGACCCACAGCCUGCCACUCCAGUCUUCAUGCUCAUCACAUUUCUUCCACUUGUCUCUCCUGGUUUGGGAUCGUUUCCUCCUCAUUGCCAUUAAUGAGUCUUCUCUCAUCAGGCUUCCCUGUAAAGGAUAAUGACCACUGAGUUUCUCAGUGGUGCUGUUGCCCUCUCAACAGGACAUUCUUUAUUGUUUAGUAGAUGGAGUGUCUUGCAGAAGCUCCAACAGAGAACCAAGUUGGCUGGUGGUUGGUUUCUGGCUUUUCAUGAUAGAUCCAUUCAAACAUUGCCAAUUCUUUGAGCCUUUGAUCCCUGCCCCCCGGGCUUUUAUCACUUGCCAUAGAAGUUUGGGCAUUUUUACUUGACUUAAUAUGGAACAUCACUUUGUCUAGGAUUUCAGGAGCUAACCUGCUAGCUUCUUAGCACCAUCUCCCAAACUCUUGCUAGGAUGUUAAAUCCUGAAUGACAGGAGAGUGCUCCUAUAUUUAUAAACCUCUUUGAUCAAACUUUAUGCACCCCUCACCUCCCUGAUGCAGCACCCUCGGGACCUGGUCCCAUGCAUACGCCACUAGCUCCUACCAGUGCAUGAGGUCUAGGUCCUGCUGCUCACUUGGGGCGUGCUCGCUUUCCGCUUUCUCAGGUCUAGCACUUCCCCAGCUGGGCAGUGUUGAGAACUAAUACUACCUACUGGUCCGGUGGCCAGGAGGAGAGAUGAAGGUAGCUCAUGACGGAGCACAUGUAGUCUUACAAAGCAGAGGCCUCAAUACCAUCUACAACCGAAGGUGGGAUGGGGUGGCACUGGAAUUUGGGAGAGAAUAGUGGGCCAUUCCAAUAGGCUCAGAAUUCAGAGAAUCUGCCACUCAAGACGUUCAGGUUCACAAACCCUGAUGUCUCAGAGCCAACAUUUCUUUAUCGGGACCCCGAUCUUGGGGAUUCCUGGGAUUGAGAAUUCAAACUCUGUGGAGUUCUGCUAUUUCUAUUAUUAAGUUCUGAGUCUGAGCCUCAGCUUUUUCUGCUCUCUAGCUGCAGGAGGUAAGAAUGCCUUUAGAGCCUUCCAAGGAGGCUUCUGGUUUCAUAUUUUGUAUUGAAUUGGUAAUUACCCUCGGAAUUUCACUACUUCUUCCUAAUUCACGAAUGGCAUUCAGAAAUUGCCAUCUAAUCUCAUUUUCCUUAUAAUUACUACUUCCCUAUGCCCCUUAAAUACCUAAACUAUUGCCCCUGCCUGUGUGUCUCCUUCCACUGGUAUACAGUCCCAGUACAUGACCAUUGAAAGUUUUAAUAGCUACACAAUAACAGCAUGCCAAAGGCUAUGCCACCAUCAUGUAUGAGGACUUUAUUGCCAGCUGAUGGGUGAUACAGCUCCAAAGUCUCAUUUUGAGUCUAAUUCCUAGGACCAAUCCUGGCACCAACUGUCAUAUGCCUGGUUCCCUAAGAAAUGGACUCUGAAAAGCAGAUUUGCAUAUAGGAAUCUUAAUAGAGUGUUCCCAGGAACACCUGUGAAGGAGUAAGAAAAGAUAGGGAUUGGGCAGAAGGAGACAUUUAACUGUGAUAGGAUUGCAACCAAGGCCUUUGCCAAAGUCACGAGGGAGUCUUAAGCUGAGAUAGCUCUUGAGAGAUGACCUGAACUAAAGCAAGAGGGCCAGGCUGUUAUACCUCCUCUAAGACCCAACACUAGAGGUGGGCUGCCCUGAAAAGAGGUCAUAACCUUGGAGGAGGCAACUUUCUUAACUAAGGGUAUUUCUCUGGAAGGAAUAACUGCAAACCUUCAGCAGGUGAUAGCCAUGCCUCUGUCCUGAAGGAGGUUCUGAAGGGUGCACACAGUGCCUACCAUGUCCACAAAGCUUUCAAACAGUCUAAGAAGACGAGUGAAAUGGGGAAAUGAAAGAAAUCGCCAUCCUUGCACGUUUUAAGCUUUGAAAAUGGCACUAAUAUUUGUGAUUUCCCCUAGGAAUAUAGUGUUAAUAUCAGUUGACAAUUUUGCACAGGAGGAGAAGCACCUAUCAUGCUCUUUCAUGAUGUAGUGGCCCCCACUUGAUGAAUCAAGGAGCCAAUUGUAUUUUAAUUGUUCAUUCAGGAUCUGGAAAACUAACCACAGAUAGAUUCAUAGAUCUAGUGGGUCAUCAAUCAUUGGAGUCUGACAAAAAUUCCACGUCUUGCUUUACCUCAUAAGCCCCUAUUUUGACUAGUUUUCCACUGUGGAAUUUGAAAUUCGCAGGAAUGAAAGUUGUCUCAAGGACCCAUGUCCAACAAUUCCCUACAUUUUUCUUUCUCUCUGACACAAUCAUAAGAAGAAUAUCUACAACUUUCUUUGGGAAAUAUUAGGUGUAAGUUUAAUGUGUGUGUGGUUUCGAUUUCUCACAGGACACUCAAGUGUACCUGGUCUCCCCUUUAUUCAAGGGCCUCUGGGUUUGUGAACUGAGUUAACUCUGAAAAUUAGUAAGUGGCCAUGAAUCUACUGUGGUGAUCUAAUAGACUCAGAGUUUGAAGGGAUCACAAAGGAAAUUAGCAGGUUUCCCUACUAAUUCAACCUAGGAACCCAAUCAUCAGUCAAUGACUGCCAAAGACCUCUGAAGAUCAGACUGUUCUCAUAACGACACCAACCAAUCUGAUGAUCACGGUAACAGCAGCUACCCUGUGUGUGGUUAGUAAGCACUGCUCUUUGGUCUCUGUCAUUUCAAGAGUUUAUCACCCACCUUGACAUCUGGAAGCCCAUCUGAAAGCCAAUAUCUCCCAAACAUCUAUGGCCUAUGGAAAUGGCCAUUGCACUGCUUUUUAAGGAUGCUGGUGUUCCCUUCAUCAUGGUGAAGAGAAGAACUUCAGAGUUUUCUUUCAGGGACAGAGCUAUGGAUGGGGUAAAAAGUAACACAGGUACGUCCACAACCCUGACUGUCUUUGGAAUCCUUUCUUAGGUACCAGUGAAUUUCUGUCCUCCGAACUUCAUUCAGUGUAGACCAUGAAUGAAUUCAGAUGUCAGCCAACGCAAUGAGCAAAUAGCGCUCAAGCAAGUACCUUGAAUCUAGAAUCUCUGGAAAAGUGCAUCUGUAUCAAAGUCAUCUUGAUCUAAAAUUGUAUUUCUUCCUCCCUAAUCUGGAACCCUGUGAAUUUAUGGCCAUGGAAAUACUUUUCACAUUUAAUCAAUGUAAACUAGAAUAUAUCUUGUGAUUACUUAGGGAGGAAAUCUCUUAAGAUUGGCCCCCUGUGCGAUGCUAGGACAUGAUAAAAUCCUGUGGUGAUAAAGGUGGCUCUCCUUUGCAAAACAGCUACCCCAGUUAGAUCAUUGUAUGGUCUUCAAACCUAGUAGGACUUUAUCAUGCAGAAUGGAAGGAAUUGCCUCUUCUGUCUAGGAGAUUCAAUGAAGUUUUGUAGUUUGGGGCAUUUUGAAUGACUCAAAUAUUCCUUACUAUGCCCAUUCAAAUUUUUGCAUCUCACUCUUUCCCAAGCAAAGUCUACGGUCUCACAUAAUAAAACUUGUGAGUUGUGAAUUCAAGUGACAUGUUCAUUAAAUAAUUCAUAUAGUUGUUAAAAAUAAGACAAUAGGCCCCACGUAGAGCCGCUCAUGCUAAGCCCCACAUCACCAAACUGAGACUUCGCUAAAUUACACUUUCAGCUCUCCCAGAAAUGCAAUCUUAUAUCACUUAAUCAAGAAUCCCUUGAUCAGCACUAAUUAGGUAAUCUGCCUGACAGACCCCUGCUCUCCCGUAAAGCAAAGUGACCUUACUAGAACCAAUUUAAUUUUUUGCCUAAUAUAACUUCUUUGUUCCUGUUCCCUUCUGCCUGUGGAAGUGUUCCUUUGUACAAUUCCUUGGAAACACCUCUC
rnacentral:lncRNA from 1 species